GAUGGAGGAGGAGCAGCCGGAGUGGCGGGUGGAGGGGCAGCAGGGGUGGCUGGCGGAGGAGCGGUAGUAUUGGUAGACGGAGGAGGCGCGGUGGUGUUAGUCGACGGCGGAGACGUGGGAGUAGGAGCUGACAUUUUUCACGGAACAGCUAAAUUUUUUUUUUUUUUGAGUAUUUUAAGAAAUAGAUAAUUUAGAGAGAGAGAGAGAGAGAGAGAGA
rnacentral:misc_RNA from 1 species